rnacentral:misc_RNA from 1 species
UAAAGAAGAAACAUAAGAGAGCUCUUUAUGAAGCACUUGAAAAGGUUAAGUCAGAGCUUAUGCUAUUAGGAUUUAUAUCCUUGCUUCUAACUGUAGGACAAGGUCCAAUAUCAAAUAUAUGCAUACCAGAAAAGGUUGGAUCUUCAUGGCAUCCAUGCAGCAAGGAGGAAGAAGCGAAUAUAAACAAGGCUGAAGUGCCUGCAACAGAAAAUGAA